AGAGUUUGAUCCUGGCUCAGGAUCAACGCUGGCGGCGUGCCUAAUGCAUGCAAGUCGGACGGGUGGUCUUUCGGGGCCAUCACGUGGCGGACGGGUGCGGAACGCGUGGGCAAGCUGCCCUGGGGCGGGGGACAGCCGGUGGAAACGCCGGGCAAUUCCGCGUACGCUGAUUCGCCGGUGGGGCGGGUCAGGAAAGGCCCUGCGGGGUCGCCCUGGGAGGCGCCUGCGGCCGAUUAGCUGGUUGGGGGGGUAACGGCCUCCCAAGGCGAUGAUCGGUAGCUGGUCUGAGAGGACGGCCAGCCACACGGGGACUGAGACACGGCCCCGACUCCUACGGGAGGCAGCAGCAAGGAAUCUUCCGCAAUGGGCGCAAGCCUGACGGAGCAACGCCGCGUGGGGGAUGACACCCUUCGGGGCGUAAACCCCUUUUCUUCCGGAAGAAGCCGGAGCGAUCCGGUUGACGGUACGGGAGGAAGAAGGCCCGGCUAACCACGUGCCAGCAGCCGCGGUAAUACGUGGGGGCCGAGCGUUGUCCGGAGUUACUGGGCGUAAAGGGCGCGCAGGCGGCGGCGUGGGUCCGGCGUGAAAGCCCCCGGCUCAACCGGGGAAGGUCGUCGGGGACCGCGCCGCUUGAGGGCGGCAGGGGCCGGUGGAAUGCCUGGUGUAGUGGUGAAAUGCGUAGAGAUCAGGCGGAACACCCGUGGCGAAGGCGGCCGGCUGGGCCGACCCUGACGCUGAGGCGCGAAGGCGUGGGGAGCGAACGGGAUUAGAUACCCCGGUAGUCCACGCAGUAAACGAUGCCGA
rnacentral:rRNA from 1 species